AGUAUGUCAAAAAGUUUGGCCGAAUCUCUAUAAGAACGGUCAAGAAUGAUAAUAUUGAAAUAAAAUAAAAUUAAUUGAUUAUUCUAUUACAAAUUCAAGUUUAAUGAUCAUGCUGAAAUUCAAUGAUGAGUUCACUAACUACAAAUGAAACUUAAGCCUCUCAUCAAUUGUGACAAUACAAAUUGAAAAUAAAAUUGGUCUG
rnacentral:misc_RNA from 1 species